rnacentral:misc_RNA from 1 species
AUAUAUAUAUAUAUAUAUAUAUAGAUAUGUACUUGUACAUAUACUGUAUAUAUUUUCUAUCCAUUUUCUCUUAUUUCUCUUUUUCUCUUUCUGUUUGUCUGUCUCUCUACUCCCCUCUCCUCUCUCUCUCUUCCUUCAACAUAAUCCCUUGUUUUUCCCCAUCAAAAUUCCUUUCCGUCUUUCAUUCCUUCCCAUAUAUUUGUUACGAAAUUUUAUAUAAAUAUCUAUAUAUGAAUACUAUAUACCAAUCGGUAUGUAAUAGAUAUUAUAUUCCUGCAUGGUUUCUGUCAAUUAUACGGGGUCGAUCGCCUUUUAUCGAUUCCAGGACGCUUGCAUUCGAAUGCAUGAUUUAUUCUGUCGUCAUGUCGUAUUUUGCAUAUACAGCUGUCCUCUUCGCGGCAUUCUCGUCCUCCUAAUCCCGGUGUUGUUAAUUUGAAUUCGAAAUAUUUGGGUCGUCGAGUAAGUUGUUUCUAAAAUCUUUGUAUUAAUCACUUUUUUAUCCAACCUAUUUAUUAUUUAUAGAAGAAUGUCUCAAUGUAACAGUUUUUAUCCUUUUAUAAUUUUCUCCUUAUAAAACAGUCGGUAUCGGGAAUUGAAAGGAGUUCAAGAUCAAGCUCUUGGUCCGGAAGACCACUAUGGAUGGAAGAUGAAUUUCGCAAACGUAUUAAAGUCCCUCAUACGUUUAUUGUUCAUAAUUAUACUCGACCAACCAAAUGUAUGCUUUGUAAUAAAUUAUUGAAGGGCUUAUUUAGACAAGGCGUACAGUGUAAAGAUUGCAAAUUCAACUGUCACAAAAAAUGUUCUGAAAAGGUAGCGAGGAACUGUUUGGGAGAGGAUAAUUGGGUUCCUGGAGCCAUUGGCUCAACGCAAUCGAUCGACUCGAACGGUGAUACUAGUGAUCAGAGUUCAACGCUCUCAGAGGAACUCGAUCCGACCAAACAGCCGCAGGACAACGAGGAAGAUGUAGAAGAAUACAUCCCACUUAAACCGGCUAUAAGUCCGACAACUAGUUCAAAUAUUCCUUUGAUGAGAGUUGUUCAAUCUGUGAAACAUACAAAGAGAACUGGUUCGAAAUUUAUCCGCCAAGGUUGGAUGGUGCAUUAUACUAAUCGAGAUAAUCAAAGGAAGCGACAUUUUUGGCAACUGGAUCCAAAUGCCAUCACGCUAUUUCCGAAUGACAAUACCAACAGAUAUUAUAAAGAAAUUACUCUUUCUGACGUUUCUUCAAUGGAAAUGAAUGAUGAUAUGGCUAACGGUAAUUAUGUUUUUGAGUUACAUGUCUCAACGGGAACCAUUUUUUACGUUGGCGCCUUGGCCGAAACUGAUAUUACCUCCGCUGAGAGUGGAAUGGGUAAGGAACAAGCUGAAUACUGGGAGAGUGCAAUACGACAAGCUUUAAUCCCUUUUACUAACGUUCGUAUGGAGAAGAAAGAGGAGUCGGAAGUCGUAAAAGUUGAAAAGAAAGAGGAAAAAGAAGACAUUAGCAAACUAUAUCAAAUAUGCCCCGAUGACGUUUUAGGCUCUGGCCAAUUUGGUAUCGUAUACGGAGGCAAACACCGUAAAUCUGGCAGAGACGUGGCCAUAAAAGUAAUUGAUAAAAUGAGAUUUCCUACAAAACAGGAGGCACAAUUAAAGAAUGAAGUUUCUAUUCUACAUAACAUAAAUAAUCCUGGAGUUGUUAAUUUAGAGCAUACGUUUGAGACACCUGAAAGAAUAUUCGUUGUUAUGGAAAAAUUGAAGGGUGAUAUGCUGGAAAUGAUACUUUCCAGCCCAAAAGGCAGAUUAACCGAGCGUAUUACGAAAUUCUUAAUUUCUCAAAUUUUAGCCGCGUUACGUCAUCUACAUAACAAAAGUAUAGUACACUGCGAUCUUAAACCGGAGAAUGUACUCUUAUCCUCUGAAACACCAUUUCCCCAAGUGAAACUUUGCGAUUUUGGCUUUGCUCGUAUUAUCGGGGAAAAAUCAUUUAGGAGAUCGGUUGUAGGAACGCCAGCCUAUCUGGCUCCAGAAGUUCUCAAAAAUCGCGGAUAUAAUAGAUCAUUGGAUAUGUGGUCUGUUGGUGUCAUUAUCUACGUAAGUUUAAGCGGUACAUUCCCAUUUAACGAGGACGAAGAGAUAUCCGAUCAAAUACAAAAUGCUGCAUUUAUGUAUCCUCCUUCACCGUGGAAUGAAAUCUCUCGAGACGCUAUUGAUAUGAUAAAUAAUUUACUGCAAGUGAAAAUGCGUAGACGAUAUACGGUGGAGAAAACAUUCUUUCACGGUUGGCUGCAGGUAUACUAAUAAAUAGAAAUAGAAAAGAACCUAAAUAGAUAUUAUGGUCACAUUUUUUUUUUUAAUAUAUUAUAUUUUAUUUUACACUUACUUUUGCAAAAGAUUAGAUAGAAAAGAGACCUUAGUUGCAUUAUAUUUUUAUUUUAUAGAUGGAAUAUUGGAAUUAUUUUUUAUUAUAUUUUUCCUUAGUUUCAAUAUUUUAUCUUAUUGAAUAUGCAUUAUAGUAUAUACUGUAUAUAUCUAUAAAUAUAUAAAUAUAUAUAUAUAGUAUAUUAAUGUAUAUUCUUUAAGGUAAGACGAAUGUUCACCUAUUAUUAGAGUAGUUUUUUUUAUUCUUAGUUUUUGUUCAAUUCCCUUGCCAAGAAGAGUAUAUGCUGCAUGGACUUCUUUAAAAUUCAGAUGUACAG